GAUGAAGAACGUAGCGAAAUGCGAUAAGUAAUGUGAAUUGCAGAAUUCAGUGAAUCAUCGAAUCUUUGAACGCACAUUGCGCCCCUUGGUAUUCCGGGGGGCAUGCCUGUUCGAGCGUCAUUUCAACCCUCAAGCUCUGCUUGGUCUUGGGCCGCGCCGGCGACGGCGGGCCUCAAAAACAGUGGCGGCGCCAUCUGGUUCCUCAGCGUAGUAAUUCUUCUCGCUGUUGGGCCCGGGUGGCCGCUGGCCAGCAACCCCAAAUUUUCUAUGGUUGACCUCGGAUCAGGUAGGGAUACCCGCUGAACUUAAGCAUAUCAAUAAGCGGAGGA
rnacentral:misc_RNA from 1 species